CCCUUGGUAGCCCACUUAUCCACCUUCUCCUGGGUGUGUGGCUCAGCAGCCAAGUCCUUGUGCACUGGGUUGGGUCCCAGCAUGAGCCUGGUGGCCUGGCGGGCCCUGGCACCAUGGAGAGCAGCCUGCUGUCAGUGAUGGCCUGGAUCUCCAAGACGGCCUCCAGCACUGUCAUGCCCUUGACCCGCUAGUGCUGGUACAGGACCUGGGUAACAGGCAUGUCCUUGGGCGUCACUGGCUCAGGGGCAGAGGACGAGGUUGAGGAGAAAGCUGGAUACCCCUGUCCAUGGUGGGCUGGGGCUGGAAGGGUGGCUCAGUGGCCUCGAAGUGGAGGCAGGAGGGCACAGGGGAGGGGAGAAGGUCAGUGGGGUGCAGGGCAGCCAAGAUACCCACCAGCCCUCCCCAGAGCCAGGGCCCCUCAGACCCCCGGGUGUCAAAGGUCCCGGGGGGCACCAUGUCCUCAGUGGCAGUCGGAGCCCAGUGCUGGACAUCAUGGAGGCCCCGGUGCCCUCACCCCCUCCUGAUGUGGGUCCCA
rnacentral:lncRNA from 1 species